rnacentral:rRNA from 1 species
CCUACGGGAGGCAGCAGUGAGGAAUAUUGGUCAAUGGCCGGAAGGCUGAACCAGCCAUGCCGCGUGAAGGUCAGUGCCCUAUGGGCGUUAAACUUCUUUUGUGCGGGAGCAAUAAUGGUCACGUGUGGCCAGACGAGAGUACCGUACGAAUAAGCAUCGGCUAACUCCGUGCCAGCAGCCGCGGUAAUACGGGGGAUGCAAGCGUUAUCCGGAUUUAUUGGGUUUAAAGGGUGCGUAGGCUGUGAGGUAAGUCAGCGGUGAAAUGCCCCCGCUCAACGGGGUGAAGUGCCAUUGAUACUGCCUUGCUGGAAUGCGGAUGCCGUGGGAGGAAUGUGUGGUGUAGCGGUGACAUGCAUAGAUAUCACACAGAACACCGAUUGCGAAGGCAUCUCACGAAUCCGCGAUUGACGCUGAUGCACGAAAGCGUGGGUAUCAAACAGGAUUAGAUACCCCGGUAGUC